UGAGGAAGUAAAAGUCGUAACAAGGUUUCCGUAGGUGAACCUGCGGAAGGAUCAUUAUUGAAUAAACUUGCACAGGCUGUUGCUGGCCUCUUGGCAUGUGCACGCUUGUCAUCUUUAUCUCUCCAACUGUGCACAUAUUGUAGACCCUGGGGUUUUUGUUGAUUUGUUUCGAGUUGGGACUGCUGUGCUUUACAAGUCAGCUUUGCCUUUGCAUUCCCCAGGUCUAUGUCAUUUUCACAACCUCUCAUACCGUUUAGAAUGUUGAAUCAGGUCCUUUUUGUACCUAUAAAGUUAAAUAUACAACUUUCAGCAACGGAUCUCUUGGCUCUCGCAUCGAUGAAGAACGCAGCGAAAUGCGAUAAGUAAUGUGAAUUGCAGAAUUCAGUGAAUCAUCGAAUCUUUGAACGCAUCUUGCGCUCCUUGGUAUUCCGAGGAGCAUGCCUGUUUGAGUGUCAUUUAAGUUCUCAACCACAUCACUUCGUUGGUGUGUCUUGGACUUGGGGGUUGUUGUUGCAGGCUUUCUUGAGGUCUGCUCCCCUGAAAUUCAUUAGCAGUAUCUGAGCAGAGGAAACUACUACAGGUGUGAUAAUUAUCUAUACCUUGGUAUGCUGCAUGAACAGAUUACACUGCUUCCAACAAGUGAGAGGAAAACUCCUCCCACAUUUUGAUGAAUUUGACCUCAAAUCAGGUAGGACUACCCGCUGAACUUAAGC
rnacentral:rRNA from 1 species